rnacentral:lncRNA from 1 species
AAAAAUGAAAAAAAAAAAAUUUGGGGUGUUCGGCCUUCCUGAAGGUAAUACCCCGGUAUUAGGUUUUGGGGCUAGGGUAAGGUUUAAGGUUUUUGGCGUUAGGGUUAAAAUCACUGUCCAAAACCUUUGUAGGAACUCUUUUCCAACCUUUUGGAGUUAGUUAGACCAAAAAAAAAACAAAAAUGAAAAAAAAAAUAUUUGGGGUCUUCGGGCUUCCUGAUGGUAAUACCCGGGUAUCGGGUUUUGGGGCUAGGGUAAGGUUUAAGGUUUUUGGCGUUAGGGUUAAAAUCACUGUCCAAAACCUUUGUAGGAACUCUUUUCCAACCUUUUGGAGUUAGUUAGACCAAAAAAAAAUGAUUAAUUAAAAAAAAUAUAUUUGGGGUGUUCGGGCUUCCUUAUUAGUAUUAGUUUAUGGGGCUUUGGAAAGGUUUAAGGUUUUUGGCAUUAGGGUUAAAAUCACUGUCCAAAACCUUUGUAGGAACUCUUUUCAAACCUUUUGGAGUUAGUUAGACCAAAAAAAAAAAUGAAAAAGGAAAAAAAAAUUGGGGGUUUUCGGGCUUCCUGAAGGUAAUACCCGGGUAUUAGGUUAUGAGGCUUUGGAAAGGUUUAAGGUUUUUGGCGUUAGGGUUAAAAUCACUGUCCAAAACCUUUGUAGGAACUCUUUUCCAACCUUUUGGAGUUAGUUUGACCAAAAAAUUAAAAAUGAAAUAAAUUUUUUUUGGGGUGUAAAGGCUUCCUGAAGGUAAUACCCUUGUAUUAGGUUAUGGGGCUAGGGUAAGGUUUAAGGUUUUUUGGCGUUUGGGUUGAAAUCACUGUCCAAAACCUUUGUAGAAACUCGUUUCCAACCUUUUGGAGUUAGUUAGACCAAAAAAAAAUGAAAAAUGAAAAAAAAAUAUUUGGGUUGUUCGGGCUUCCUGAAGGUAAUUCAUGUAUUAGGUUAUGGGUUUAGGGUAAGGUUUAAGGUUUUUUGCGUUUGGGUUAAAAUCAGUGUCCAAAACCUUUGUAGGAACUCGUUUCCAACCUUUUGGAGUUAGACCAAAAAAAAAUGAAAAAUGAAAAAAAUAUAUUUGGGUUGUUUGUACUUCCUGACGGUAAUUCCCGGGUAUUAGGUUAUGGGGCUAGGGUAAGGUUUAAGGUUUUUGGCGUGAGGGUUAAAAUCACUGUCCAAAACCUUUGUAGGAACUCUUUUCCAACCUUUUGGAGUUAGUUAGACCAAAAAAAAAGAUUAAAGAAAAAAAAAUAGUUGGGGAUUUCGCGAUUCCUGAAGGUAAUACCCGGGUAUUAGGUUAUGGGGCUAUGGUAAGGUUUAAGGUUUUUAGUGUUAGGGUUAAAAUCACUGUCCAAAACCUUUGUAGGAACUCUUUUCCAACCUUUUGGAGUUAGUUAGACAAGAAAAAAAGGAAAAAUGAAAAAACAAUAUUUGUGGUUUUCGGGCUUCCUGAAGGUAAUACUAUUAUUAGUAUUAUUAUAGUAAAAAUAGUAUUAUUACUAUUAUAAGUAUUAGGUUUUGGGGCUAGGGUAAGGUUGAAGGUUUUUGGCGUUAGGGUUAAAAUCACUGUCCAAAACCUUUUUAGGAACAUGUUUCAGGACUUUUUGGAGUUAGUUAGACCAAAAAAAAAAACAAAAAAUAAUAAUAAAAUUUUUUUGGGGGUGGUAGGGCUUCCUUUAGGUAAUAACCGGGUAUUAGGUUUUGGGGCUAGGGUAAGGUUUAAGUUUUUUGGCGUGAGGGUUAAAAUCACUGUCCAAAACCUUUGUAGGAACUCUUUUCCAACCCUUUCGGAGUUAGUUAGACCAAAAAAAAAAACGAAAAAUGAAAAAAAAAUAUUUGGGGUUUUCGGGCUUCCUGAAGGUAAUACCCGGGUAUUAGGUUAUGGGCUAGGGUGAGGUUUAAGGUUUUUGGAGUUAGAGUUAAAAUUACUGUCCAAAACCUUUUUAGGAACAUGUUUCAGACCUUUUGGAAUUAGUUAGACCAAAAAAUAACGAAAAAUGAAAAAAAAAAAAAUUUGGGGUGUUCGGCCUUCCUGAAGGUAAUACCCCGGUAUUAGGUUUUGGGGCUAGGGUAAGGUUUAAGGUUUUUGGCGUUAGGGUUAAAAUCACUGUCCAAAACCUUUGUAGGAACUCUUUUCCAACCUUUUGGAGUUAGUUAGACCAAAAAAAAACCAAAAAUGAAAAAAAAAAUAUUUGGGGUCUUCGGGGUUCCUGAAGGUAAUACCCGGGUAUAGGGUUUUUGGGCUAGGGUAAGGUUUAAGGUUUUUGGCGUUAGGGUUAAAAUCACUGUCCAAAACCUUUGUAGGAACUCUUUUCCAACCAUUUGGAGUUAGUUAGACCAAAAAAAAUGAUUAAUUAAAAAAAAAAUAUUUGGGGUGUUCGGGCUUCCUUAUUAGUAUUAGUUUAUGGGGCUUUGGAAAGGUUUAAGGUUUUUGGCAUUAGGGUUAAAAUCACUGUCCAAAACCUUUAUAGGAACUCUUUUCCAACCUUUUGGAGUUAGUUAGACCAAAAAAAAAUGAAAAAGGAAAAAAAAAAUGGGGGUUUUCGGGCUUCCUGAAGGUAAUACCCGGGUAUUAGGUUAUGAGGCUUUGGAAAGGUUUAAGGUUUUUGGCGUUAGGGUUAAAAUCACUGUCCAAAACCUUUGUAGGAACUCUUUUCCAACCUUUUGGAGUUAGUUAGACCAAAAAAAAAGAAAAAAGAAAAAAAAAUAUUUGGCGUCUUCGGGCUUCCUGAAGGUAAUACCCGAGUGUCAGGUUUUGGGGCUAGGGUAAGGUUUAAGGUUUUUGGCGUUAGGGUUAAAAUCACUGUCCAAAAUCUUUGUAAGAACUCUUUUCCAACCUUUUGGAGUUAGUAAGACCAAAAAAAAAAGAACAAAGAAAAAAAAAAUUGGGGGUUUUCGGGCUUCCUGAUGGUAUUACCCGGGUAUUAGGUUUUGGGGCUAGGGUAAGGUUUAAGGUAUUUGGCGUUAGGGUUAAAAUCACUGUCCAAAACCUUUGUAGGAACUCUAUUCAAACCUUUUGGAGUUAGUUAGACAAGAAAAAAAGGAAAAAUGAAAAAAAUAUAUUUGUGGUUUUCAGCCUUCCUGAAGGUAAUACCCGGGUAUUAGGUUUUGGGGCUAGGGUAAGGUUUAAGGUUUUUGGCGUUAGAGUUAAAAUCACUGUCCAAAAAGUUUAUAGGAACUCUUUUCCAACCUUUUGGAGUUAGUUAGACCAAAAAAAAUAAAAAUAAAAAAUAUAUAUUUGGGGUGAUCGGGCUUCCUGAAGGUAAUACCUGGGUAUUAGGUUAUGGGGCUAGGGUAAGUUUGAAGGUUUUUGGCGUUAGGGUUAAAAUCACUGUCCAAAACCUUUGUAGGAACUCUUUUCCAAACUUUUGGAAUGAGUUAGACCAAAAAAAAAUGAAAAAUGAAAAAAACAUAUUUGGGGUGUUCGUGCUUCCUGAAGGUAAUACCCGAGUAUUAGGUUAUGGGGCUUUGGAAACGUUAAAGGUUUUUGGCGUUAGGGGUUAAAAUCACUGCCAAAACCUUUGUAGGAACUCUAUUCAAACCUUUUGGAGUUAGACCAAAAAAAAAUGAAAAUGAAAAAAAAAAUAUUUGGGGUGUUCGGGCUUCCUGAAGGUAAUACCUGGUUUAGGGUAUGGGGCUAGGGUAAGGUUUAAGGUUUUUUGGCGUUAGGGUUAAAAUCACUGUCCAAAACCUUUGUAGGAACUCUUUUCCAACCUUUUGGAGUUAGUUAGACCAAAAAAAAAUGAAAAAUUAAAAAAAAAUAUUUCGGGUUUUCAGUCUUCCUUAAGGUAAUACCCGGCUAUUAGGUAAUGGGGCUAUGGUAAGGUUUAAGGUUUUUGGCGUUAGGGUUAAAAUCACUGUCCAAAACCUUUGUAGGAACUCUUUUCCAACCUUUUGGAGUGAGUUAGACCAAAAAACAAAUGAAAAAUAAAAAUAAAAUAUAUAUAUUUGGGGUGUUCGGGCUUCCUGAAGGUAAUACCCGGGUAUAAGGUUAUGGGGCUAGGGUAAGGUUUAAGGUUUUUGGUGUUAGGGUUAAAAUCACUGUCCAAAACCUUUGUAGGAACUCUUUUCCAACCUUUUGGAGUUAGUUAGACCAAAAAAAAUGAAAAUGAAAAAAAAAUAUUUGGGGUGUUCGGGCUUCCUGAAGGUAAUACCCGGGUAUCAGGUUUUGGGGCUAGGUUAAGGUUUAAGGUUUUUGGCGUGAGGGUUAAAAUCACUGUGCAAAACCUUUGUAGGAACUCUUUUCAAACCUUUUGGAAUUAGUUAGACCAAAAAAAAAUAAAAAAUGAAAAAAAAAUAUUUGUGGUUUUCGGGCCUCCUGAAGGUAAUACCCGGGUAUAAGGUUUUGGGGCUAGGUUAAGGUUUAAGGUUUUUGGCGUUAGGGUUAAAAUCACUGUCCAAAACCUUUGUAGGAACUCUUUUCCAACCUUUUGGAGUUAGCUAGACCAAAAAAAAAAUGAAAAAUGAAAAAUAAAAAUGGGGGUUUUCGGGCUUCCUGAAGGUAAUACCCGGGUAUCAGGUUAUGGGGCUAGGGUAAAGUUAAAGGUUUUUGGCGUUAGGGUUAAAAUCACUGUCCAAAACCUCUGUAGGAACUCUUUUCCAACCUUUUGGAAUUAGUUAGACCAAAAAAAAAAGAAAAAUGGAAAAAACAUAUUUGGGGUGUUCGGGCUUCCUGAAGGUAAUACCCGGGUAUUAGGUUUUGGGGCUUUGGAAACGUUUGAGUCUUUCGGCGUUAGGGUAAAAAUCACUGUCCAAAACCUUUGUAGGAACUCUAUUCAAACCUUUUGGAGUUAGUAAGACCAAAAAAAAUAAAAAUAAAAAUUUUUAUUUGGGGUGUUCGGGCUUCCUGAAGGUAAUACCCGGGUAUUAGGUUAUGGGGCUAGGGUAAGGUUGAAGGUUUUUGGCGUUAGGAUUAAAAUCACUGUCCAAAACCUUUUUAGGAACAUGUUUCAGACCUUUUGGAGUUAGUAAGACCAAAAAAAAAAGAACAAAGAAAAAAAAAAAUUGGGGGUUUUUGGGCUUCCUGAUGGUAAUACCCGGGUAUUAGGUUUUGGGGCUAGGGUAAGGUUUAAGGUAUUUGGCGUUAGGGUUAAAAUCACUGUCCAAAAUCUUUGUAGGAACUCUAUUCAAACCUUUUGGAGUUAGUUAGACCAUAAAAAUGUAAAAUGAAAAAAAUAUUUGAGGUUUUCGGGUUUCCUGAAGGUAAUACCCGGGUAUUUGGUUAUGGGGCUAUGGUUAGGUUUAAGGUUUUUGGCGUUAGGGUUAAAAUCACUGUCCAAAACCUUUGUAGGAACUCUUUUCCAACCUUUUGGAGUUAUUUAGACCAAAAAAAAAUGAAAAAUUAAAAAAAAAUAUUUCGGGUUUUCAGUCUUCCUUAAGGUAAUACCCGGCUAUUAGGUAAUGGGGCUAUGGUAAGGUUUAAGGUUUUUGGCGUGAGGGUUAAAAUCACUGUCCAAAACCUUUGUAGGAACUCUUUUCCAACCUUUUGGAGUGAGUUAUACCAAAAAACAAAUGAAAAAUAAAAAUAAAAUAUAUAUAUUUGGGGUGUUCGGGCUUCCUGAAGGUAAUACCCGGGUAUAAGGUUAUGGGGCUAGGGUAAGGUUUAAGGUUUUUGGUGUUAGGGUUAAAAUCACUGUCCAAAACCUUUGUAGGAACUCUUUUCCAACCUUUUGGAGUUAGUUAGACCAAAAAAAAUGAAAAAUGAAAAAAAAAUAUUUGGGGUGUUCGGGCUUCCUGAAGGUAAUACCCGGGUAUCAGGUUUUGGGGCUAGGUUAAGGUUUAAGGUUUUUGGCGUGAGGGUUAAAAUCACUGUGCAAAACCUUUGUAGGAACUCUUUUCCAACCUUUUGGAAUUAGUUAGACCAAAAAAAAAUAAAAAAUGAAAAAAAAAUAUUUGUGGUUUUCGGGCCUCCUGAAGGUAAUACCCGGGUAUAAGGUUUUGGGGCUAGGUUAAGGUUUAAGGUUUUUGGCGUUAGGGUUAAAAUCACUGUCCAAAACCUUUAUAAGAACUCUUAUCCAACCUUUUGGAUUUAGUUUGACCAAAAAAAAAGAAAAAUGAAAAUAAAAUAUUUGGGGUGUUCGGGCUUCCUGAAGGUAAUACCCGGGUAUUAGGUUAUGGGGCUAGGGUAAGGUUUAAGGUUUUUGGCGUGAGGGUUAAAAUCACUGUCCAAAACCUUUUUAGGAACAUGUUUCAGACCUUUUGGAAUUAGUUAGACCAAAAAAAAAACGAAAAAUGGAAAAAAAAUAUUUGGGGUCUUCGGGCUUCCUGAAGGUAAUACCCGGGUAUUAGGUUUUGGGGCUAGGGUAAGGUUUAAGUUUUUUGGCGUGAGGGUUAAAAUCACUGUCCAAAACCUUUGUAGGAACUCUUUUCCAACCCUUUCGGAGUUAGUUAGACCAAAAAAAAAACGAAAAAUGAAAAAAAAAUAUUUGGGGUUUUCGGGCUUCCUGAAGGUAAUACCCGGGUAUUAGGUUAUGGGCUAGGGUAAGGUUUAAGGUUUUUGGCGUUAGAGUUAAAAUUACUGUCCAAAACCUUUUUAGGAACAUGUUUCAGACCUUUUGGAAUUAGACCAAAAAAUAACGAAAAAUGAAAAAAAAAAAAAUUUGGGUUGUUCGGCCUUCCUGAAGGUAAUACCCCGGUAUUAGGUUUUGGGGUUAGGGUAAGGUUUAAGGUUUUUGGCGUUAGGGUUAAAAUCACUGUCCAAAACCUUUGUAGGAACUCUUUUCCAACCUUUUGGAGUUAGUUAGACCAAAAAAAAACCAAAAAUGAAAAAAAAAAUAUUUGGGGUCUUCGGGGUUCCUGAAGGUAAUGCCCGGGUGUUGGGUUUUUGGGCUAGGGUAAGGUUUAAGGUUUUUGGCGUUAGGGUUAAAAUCACUGUCCAAAACCUUUGUAGGAACUCUUUUCCAACCAUUUGGAGUUAGUUAGACCAAAAAAAAUGAUUAAUUAAAAAAAAUAUAUUUGGGGUGUUCGGGCUUCCUUAUUAGUAUUAGUUUAUGGGGCUUUGGAAAGGUUUAAGGUUUUUGGCAUUAGGGUUAAAAUCACUGUCCAAAACCUUUAUAGGAACUCUUUUCCAACCUUUUGGAGUUAGUUAGACCAAAAAAAAAAAUGAAAAAGGAAAAAAAAAUUGGGGGUUUUCGGGCUUCCUGAAGGUAAUACCCGGGUAUAAGGUUAUGGGGCUAGGGUAAGGUUUAAGGUUUUUGGUGUUAGGGUUAAAAUCACUGUCCAAAACCUUUGUAGGAACUCUUUUCCAACCUUUUGGAGUUAGUUAGACCAAAAAAAAUGAAAAAUGAAAAAAAAAUAUUUGGGGUGUUCGGGCUUCCUGAAGGUAAUACCCGGGUAUCAGGUUUUGGGGCUUUGGAAACGUUUGAGUCUUUCGGCGUUAGGGUAAAAAUCACUGUCCAAAACCUUUGUAGGAACUCUUUUCCAACCUUUUGGAGUUAGUAAGACAAAAAAAAAUAAAAAUAAAAAUUUUUAUUUGGGGUGUUCGGGCUUCCUGAAGGUAAUACCCGGGUAUUAGGUUAUGGGGCUAGGGUAAGGUUUAAGGUUUUUGGCGUUAGGAUUAAAAUCACUGUCCAAAACCUUUUUAGGAACAUGUUUCAGACCUUUUGGAGUUAGUAAGACCAAAAAAAAAAGAACAAAGAAAAAAAAAAAUUGGGGGUUUUCUGGCUUCCUGAUGGUAAUACCCGGGUAUUAGGUUUUGGGGCUAGGGUAAGGUUUAAGGUAUUUGGCGUUAGGGUUAAAAUCACUGUCCAAAACCUUUGUAGGAACUCUAUUCAAACCUUUUGGAGUUAGUUAGACCAUAAAAAUGUAAAAUGAAAAAAAUAUUUGAGGUUUUCGGGUUUCCUGAAGGUAAUACCCGGGUAUUUGGUUAUGGGGCUAUGGUUAGGUUUAAGGUUUUUGGCGUUAGGGUUAAAAUAACUGUCCAAAACCUUUGUAGGAACUCUUUUCCAACCUUUUGGAGUUAUUUAGACCAAAAAAAAAUGAAAAAUGAAAAAAAAAUAUUUGGGGUUUUCAGUCUUCCUGAAGGUAAUACCCGGCUAUUAGGUAAUGGGGCUAUGGUAAGGUUUAAGGUUUUUGGCGUUAGGGUUAAAAUCACUGUCCAAAACCUUUGUAGGAACUCUUUUCCAACCUUUUGGAGUGAGUUAGACCAAAAAACAAAUGAAAAAUAAAAAUAAAAUAUAUAUAUUUGGGGUGUUCGGGCUUCCUGAAGGUAAUACCCGGGUAUAAGGUUAUGGGGCUAGGGUAAGGUUUAAGGUUUUUGGUGUUAGGGUUAAAAUCACUGUCCAAAACCUUUGUAGGAACUCUUUUCCAACCUUUUGGAGUUAGUUAGACCAAAAAAAAUGAAAAAUGAAAAAAAAAUAUUUGGGGUGUUCGGGCUUCCUGAAGGUAAUACCCGGGUAUCAGGUUUUGGGGCUAGGUUAAGGUUUAAGAUAUUUGGGUUAGGGUUAAAAUCACUGUCCAAAACCUUUGUAGGAACUCUAUUCAAACCUUUUGGAGUUAGUUAGACCAUAAAAAUGUAAAAUGAAAAAAAUAUUUGAGGUUUUCGGGUUUCCUGAAGGUAAUACCCGGGUAUUUGGUUAUGGGGCUAUGGUUAGGUUUAAGGUUUUUGGCGUUAGGGUUAAAAUCACUGUCCAAAACCUUUGUAGGAACUCUUUUCCAACCUUUUGGAGUUAUUUAGACCAAAAAAAAAUGAAAAAUUAAAAAAAAAUAUUUCGGGUUUUCAGUCUUCCUUAAGGUAAUACUCGGCUAUUAGGUAAUGGGGCUAUGGUAAGGUUUAAGGUUUUUGGCGUUAGGGUUAAAAUCACUGUCCAAAACCUUUGUAGGAACUCUUUUCCAACCUUUUGGAGUGAGUUAGACCAAAAAACAAAUGAAAAAUAAAAAUAAAAUAUAUAUAUUUGGGGUGUUCGGGCUUCCUGAAGGUAAUACCCGGGUAUAAGGUUAUGGGGCUAGGGUAAGGUUUAAGGUUUUUGGCGUUUGGGUUAAAAUCAGUGUCCAAAACCUUUGUAGGAACUCAUUUCCAACCUUUUGGAGUUAGACCAAAAAAAAAUGAAAAAUGAAAAAAAUAUAUUUGGGUUGUUUGUACUUCCUGACGGUAAUUCCCGGGUAUUAGGUUAUGGGGCUAGGGUAAGGUUUAAGGUUUUUGGCGUGAGGGUUAAAAUCACUGUCCAAAACCUUUGUAGGAACUCUUUUCCAACCUUUUGGAGUUAGUUAGACCAAAAAAAAAGAUUAAAGAAAAAAAAAUAGUUGGGGAUUUCGCGCUUCCUGAAGGUAAUACCCGGGUAUUAGGUUAUGGGGCUAUGGUAAGGUUUAAGGUUUUUAGUGUUAGGGUUAAAAUCACUGUCCAAAACCUUUGUAGGAACUCUUUUCCAACCUUUUGGAGUUAGUUAGACCAAAAAAAAACGAAAAAUGAAAUAAAUUUUUUUUUGGGGUGUAAAGGGUUCCUGAAGGUAACACCCUUGUAUUAGGUUAUGGGGCUAGGGUAAGGUUUAAGGUUUUUUGGCGUUAGAGUUAAAAUUACUGUCCAAAACCUUUAUACGAACUCUUUUCCAACCUUUUGGAGUAAGUUAGACCAAAAAAAAAUGAAAAAUGAAAAAAAAAUAUUUGUGGUUUUCGGGCCUCCUGAAGGUAAUACCCGGGUAUCAGGUUUUGGGGCUAGGUUAAGGUUUAAGGUUUUUGGCGUUAGGGUUAAAAUCACUGUCCAAAACCUCUAUACGAACUCUUUUCCAACCUUUUGGAUUUAGUUUGACCAAAAAAAAAAGAAAAAUGAAAAUAAAAUAUUUGGGGUGUUCGGGCUUCCUGAAGGUAAUACCCCGGUAUUAGGUUUUGGGGCUAGGGUAAGGUUUAAGUUUUUUGGCGUGAGGGUUAAAAUUACUGUCCAAAACCUUUUUAGGAACAUGUUUCAGACCUUUUGGAAUUAGUUAGACCAAAAAAUAACGAAAAAUGAAAAAAAAAAAAUUGGGGGUGUUCGGCCUUCCUGAAGGUAAUACCCCGGUAUUAGGUUUUGGGGCUAGGGUAAGGUUUAAGGUUUUUGGCGUUAGGGUUAAAAUCACUGUCCAAAACCUUUUUAGGAACUUGUUUCAGACCUUUUGGAGUUGGUUAAACCAAAAAAAAAUGUAAAAUGAAAAAAAAAUAUUUGGGGUGUUCAGGCUUCCUGAAGGUAAUACCCGGGUAUAAGCUUUUGGGGCUAGGGUAAGGUUUAAGGUUUUUGGUGUUAGGGUUAAAAUCACUGUCCAAAACCUUUGUAGGAACUCUUUUCAAACCUUUUGGAGUUAGUUAGACCAAAAAAAAAAUGUAAAAUGAAAAAAAAAACAUAUUUGGGGUGUUCGGGCUUCCUGAAGUUAAUACCCGGGUAUUAGGUUAUGGGGCUUUGGAAAGGUUUAAGGUUUUUGGCGUUAGGGUUAAAAUCACUGUCCAAAACCUUUGUAGGAACUCUAUUCAAACCUUUUGGAAUUAGUUAGACCAAAAAAAAAUAAAAAAUGAAAAAUAAAAAUGGGGGUUUUCGGGCUUCCUGAAGGUAAUAUCCGGGUAUCAGGUUUUGGGGCUAGGGUAAAGUUAAAGGUUUUUGGCGUUAGGGUUAAAAUCACUGUCAAAAACCUCUGUAGGAACUCUUUUCCAACCUUUUGGAAUUAGUUAGACAAAAAAAAAAGAAAAAUGGAAAAAACAUAUUUGGGGUGUUCGGGCUUCCUGAAGGUAAUACCCGGGUAUUAGGUUUUGGGGCUUUGGAAACGUUUGAGUCUUUCGGCGUUAGGGUAAAAAUCACCGUCCAAAACCUUUGUAGGAACUCUUUUCCAACCUUUUGGAGUUAGUAAGACCAAAAAAAAUAAAAAUAAAAAUUUUUAUUUGGGGUGUUCGGGCUUCCUGAAGGUAAUACCCGGGUAUUAGGUUAUGGGGCUAGGGUAAGGUUUAAGGUUUUUGGCGUUAGGAUUAAAAUCACUGUCCAAAACCUUUUUAGGAACAUGUUUCAGACCUUUUGGAGUUAGUAAGACCAAAAAAAAAAGAACAAAGAAAAAAAAAAAUUGGGGGUUUUCGGGCUUCCUGAUGGUAAUACCCGGGUAUUAGGUUUUGGGGCUAGGGUAAGGUUUAAGGUAUUUGGCGUUAGGGUUAAAAUCACUGUCCAAAACCUUUGUAGGAACUCUAUUCAAACCUUUUGGAGUUAGUUAGACCAUAAAAAUGUAAAAUGAAAAAAAUAUUUGAGGUUUUCGGGUUUCCUGAAGGUAAUACCCGGGUAUUUGGUUAUGGGGCUAUGGUUAGGUUUAAGGUUUUUGGCGUUAGGGUUAAAAUCACUGUCCAAAACCUUUGUAGGAACUCUUUUCCAACCUUUUGGAGUUAUUUAGACCAAAAAAAAAUGAAAAAUUAAAAAAAAAUAUUUCGGGUUUUCAGUCUUCCUUAAGGUAAUACCCGGCUAUUAGGUAAUGGGGCUAUGGUAAGGUUUAAGGUUUUUGGCGUUAGGGUUAAAAUCACUGUCCAAAACCUUUGUAGGAACUCUUUUCCAACCUUU